rnacentral:rRNA from 1 species
AACGAACGCUGGCGGCAUGCCUAACACAUGCGAGUCGAACGAGACCUUCGGGUCUAGUGGCGCACGGGUGCGUAACGCGUGGGAAUCUGCCCUUGGGUUCGGAAUAACAGUUAGAAAUGACUGCUAAUACCGGAUAAUGUCUUCGGACCAAAGAUUUAUCGCCCAGGGAUGAGCCCGCGUAGGAUUAGCUAGUUGGUGAGGUAAAGGCUCACCAAGGCGACGAUCCUUAGCUGGUCUGAGAGGAUGAUCAGCCACACUGGGACUGAGACACGGCCCAGACUCCUACGGGAGGUAGCAGUGGGGAAUAUUGGACAAUGGGCGAAAGCCUGAUCCAGCAAUGCCGCGUGAGUGAUGAAGGCCUUAGGGUUGUAAAGCUCUUUUACUGGGGAUGAUAAUGACAGUACCCAGAGAAUAAGCUCCGGCUAACUCCGUGCCAGCAGCCGCGGU